AUCAAAUGAGGAAAGUUCAAGAAAAAUUUAGCUUAUAUGUACUACUUACUCUGCUGCCUUCUGGAAAUAACCUGGUGGUGGAAUGAUUUGUCCAGCAACACUUGGUAAAGAUUCAGCAAAAAAUGCAGCAAACUGAAAAGUUAAAUGUUUGUAACAAUAGUGAAACUAGCUUUAGAAGGAUAAAUUUACAUUGCAAUUCCUUAAAACUUGAAACAGUAUUUGAGAAACAGCUGUGAGCAAUGUGCCUAAUCUGGAAAGCUGUCAGUAGCAAGCUACAUGAUUGCAUGCUGCUGUUCAUAAAUAUCUCUCACUGAUAUCUGUAUCUGUAUCCAGACAGCCUUUCUGAGCACAACUCACACUUCUUGUUAGGCUGAAAUAUGUUUGUUGUGAUGUACCCGAUUUUUUUUAAGUUAAUCAAAGGUUUCCUUUAUUCUACCUUUCUACUUUUUUGGUGUCCUUGAUCAAUUAUUUUUUUUACUUCAUUGGCAUAUGCUGAGCCUGGAUCCUUGUGGUCUUCUCUAAACAAUCCUCGGUUAGCACUUGCAGAGACAUGCUGACAUGAGCAAAGCUGUUGUGGUGGAGCUUAUGAAGAGAGGCAGACCCACAGAUAUGAGGGACCAAGGCCAUGAAGGUCUUUGAUGUAUGUGAUAGCCAAUACCUUAAAUUGUGUCCAGUAAACACAUAGGUGAGUGACUAAUUUUUAAUAAUUUCUGAAUUAUAGUGAAUUAAAAAUGUUUUAUAUACUUACUGAUCCAUUACAAUAACAUCCUCAUGCUUUGUAUAUUGCCGGGCCAGUCUCAGGGCAAGAUCAUUAGCUUCUGAUCUACAAUCGAAAAGUUCCAUGAUGGUUUUAUUGUACAUAUACAGCCAAACAAUGAUCUCCCAAGCAUUGUUUUAUAUCUGCAGUUUACAGAACUGAGUGGUCAGACUCUGGAUUUACACAUAGGCACAAAAAUGAGUAUGUACAAAAAGUAAACAUUGUGAUGUGAUGCUACGCCAUGGGUUGGAAACGAUCCAGUGCUUGCAAAAGGGACUACCUUUACCUUAUUACAAAAAGCACCACUGAGUGAACAUUACAGUUUUUAUAUAGCCAAUGUACACACUUUUCUAACGAAACAUUUCAGUGUCACAGACUGCUUGAUGCAUUCACCUUGUGGUAUAUAUUCCAAAUUGGUUCUGUUUAAAAAAUCAAGUGAAAAUAAAUACUAGUUAUCAAAACAAA